ensembl:lncRNA
GGAGAAACCGAAGCUGCUUCAUCAGUGCCAUUUCCAUACUGUGUUUGAUCUCAGGAAAAGGUCUGCAUUGAUGAAUUAGUGCAACAACACUACCAGCCGUAAAAGAAUACAUCUAAUGAGAAAAUCCAACGGUGACUUCUAGGCUGGAUUGGUCAUCCCUCACCCACAGUGCACUCUCAGUAUUGAAAGAGUCAUUUGCAACGUCUCAGCUUGCUGUUGUGUAUUCCUGGUACCUGACCUUCUCAGUCUGGCUGUUGUGCAUCUGCUAGCCUGUGACCUUCCCACUGCAUGGAUCAGAUAUUGAGAAGGCAGGGGAGAAGGAAGAGCAGAGGAAGGCAGGUACACGUGCAGAAACUGACAGCAACAGAUGACCUCAGCCUACAACAUGGGCAGUGGAAGGUCAUCCCUGCACCUCCCUGCAGAGCUGACGGAGACCCACCUUUUGUGCUGCCCCCACGAGAGCUUACACCCAGCCUGGAAGUGACAGGUUACCAUGCCUGCCAUGCCGCUGCUUCAGUCGCACAGAUAAAAUAUGCUCUUCUCAGACACGGAAGCUAUUACUUCUCUGCGAUGAAACAGCAUCCCACACUCUUAUUAACCUGUGACCUACUUCAGAAGCAAAUUUAAUUUGCAGCUUUCAUAGUUAGCUAGCGCUAGCAUUGGUUUGUUCCUGUGCCUGCUCUGAGUUCGCUGGAUCUGUACAGUCCCAAGUAUGGCUGAGCCCUAUUUACUGUGGCCUAUAAGCAUUAUUCCUCAGAAAAAGAAAAAAAAAAAGGAAAAAAAAAGAAAAAAAAAAGAAAAAAAAAGAAUAAGGUAUUGGGGUGGUUGAAGCUUUUUGUUUCAUUGGAGAAAAGUCAAGGCACAAAUGUUAAAAAUGUCCCUGCAAAAAUGACUUCUGUAUCAGCAGAGAGUGAUGUUCUGUCUGCUAAAUGAAGUUUGUCAUCUGGGAUAUUCCUACAGAUCUGGUCACCUUACACAGAGCAUCUCAAGAACCACACUGUAUGGGAGAGAAAAGAGAGUUUCAAAGGAUUCACUGGAUUUCUGAUGGCAAGCAUCACACAAAAAAGGGUAUGGUUUCACAAAUACACCAAGGAAUAGGGAAAGGGAAGUAAGAGUCUUCAGUGACGGCCACCACAAAAGCAGCACAUACAGUAAUUUAUGUGGUAGAUUUACACGUAGAUCAUUACCUAACAAGCAACACAAAAAGCAAAGGACAACCAUUUUUUUAACCAAUGUUUAAUAUUUUAAUUUAUAGUUCACACAGUAUGUUGACUUCUUUUAAGGAAAUGAAUGUAACCACUAAAAACACGAAGAUAUGUGGAGCGCGAGUAGCUUUUCACUGUCUUAUUGUGGGGGAAAAAAAAGGAUAAGACUAUGCAAUUUCAGUUCCUCUGGGGAUUCAGCUCUGUCGCUGCCCAAUUGCAAGACUCCUGUUCACAUCGGUUAUUUUGGUAACCCCUUGUACUUGCAUGGCUGGUGACUUGCAGCUUGGUGGAAGUCAGUUUGUGAACAGAUUAAUAUCUGGAUUGCUGCAGUAACACUUUUCAGCUUGCCACGUGAAGAUGACAUAAGCACUACACACACUUCUUUGCCUGCCUAGGAUGUUUCGGUGACGUGGUAGUCUUCU